rnacentral:rRNA from 1 species
CCUACGGGAGGCAGCAGUGGGGAAUUUUGGACAAUGGGCGCAAGCCUGAUCCAGCAAUGCCGCGUGCAGGAAGAAGGCCUUCGGGUUGUAAACUGCUUUUGUACGGAACGAAACGGUCUGGGUUAAUACCUCGGGCUAAUGACGGUACCGUAAGAAUAAGCACCGCAU